GACGAACGCUGGCGGCGUGCUUAACACAUGCAAGUCGAACGGAAAGGCCCUGCUUCUGUGGUGUGCUCGAGUGGCGAACGGGUGAGUAACACGUGAGUAACCUGCCCUUGACUUUAGGGUAACUUCAGGAAACUGGGGCUAAUACCGGAUAGGAGCUCCUGCUGCAUGGAGGGGGUUGGAAAGUUUCGGCGGUUGGGGAUGGACUCGCGGCUUAUCAGCUUGUUGGUGGGGUAGUGGCUUACCAAGGCUUUGACGGGUAGCCGGCCUGAGAGGGUGACCGGCCACCUUGGGCCUGAGAUACGGCCCAGACUCCUACGGGAGGCAGCAGUGGGGAAUCUUGCACAAUCGGCGGAAGCCUGAUGCAGCAACGCCGCGGGUGGGAUGACGGCCUUCGGGUUGUAAACCGCUUUAGCCUGUGACGAAGCGUGAGUGACGGUAAUGGGUAAAGAAGCACCGGCUAACUACGUG
rnacentral:rRNA from 1 species